UCAUCAGGCGCCCAGAAAAGCAGCCCAUUGUCUUCGAAAGGAGCUAGGGAACCUGGCAGUUAUGUGUUCCUGGGGAUCAAAUCUGAUGCUGGAGAUAACUACUCUACCAGUCAGUGAGGAAGAGAUCCUGCUGACCCCAGCACCUGGACCAACUUCAGUGAAGAGACAGAGGCUAAGAGGUGAUGGAGCCUUGCUUCCUCACACACAGACAGAUGGAUCUAGAGACUGUCACACCGAAAAGCUCUGGCUUAUGCACUCAAAAAGCUAGAGCUGACCCAGAAGUUACACUUAGAAAUGAAAAGGAGGAAGAACCUCUUAUGUAACUUGAAGAGUAUAAAGGAUCCAAUGAUAAAAACCACUGCCGUGAACUUUUCUGAAGCAUAAUAAAUCUCUGCAUAAGACUCUCCAGCCAUUGCCAAGAUCCUCAUUUGGGAGCCAAGUGGGAAGAGGACUGAACUGGAAAUCAGAUUCAGGGUCCUGCCUAGCUUUCUUCCAGAUGAUCCCACCAAUCAGCCAUCUGGUCUCAGAGGAAUACAUGGCUUCCUCCUGACUUCUUUGCAUUUUCCCAGUGCCUUUGAUUUUGGAAAUACUAUAAGAAUGAUGGCUGCAUGUUUCAGUGUUGAAAAUUCAUGAAACCGAACAGGGAUUCUCAACAUUUCCUGAAAUUUCAAAACUCAGAAAAAGAUGAAAAAAAAAAAAAAAAGAAUAUUCAACUAAAUAUUCAUUUGUUAGCCCAGCACUGGAAGGACCCAGCCCUAAAUAAUAACUGGUGGGUUGACUGGAAGGCUGAAGGCAGAAUCAUCUGAAGGGCACUCACGUGUCCGGUAGCUGACGCUGACUGUUGUCUGGGACCAACGUGGGGCUGUGGCUGGAAAACCUCCAUGUGGCCCUUCCAUACGGCUGCUCAUCUUCCCUGCAGUAUGGUGGCCAGGUUCCAAAGGGAAGAAAGGAAAAAUGAACUCUAUCCCUUGAUGGGCAAGUAGCAAGUUCUACAAGAGCACAUGGGACUGGAAAUACUAAUGUGGCCAUUUUUGGAAAAUACAACCCGGCCCAGUAAGUCCUCUCUUUACUGACAUGAUCUGUACUACACAGCUCCAGAGCAGAGAUGGAAAACAGCCCAGGGCUGCUUGGCUGCCCAGCUGAAUAGUCCUUGGUUCCCACUGUGGCAUGCACGCAAGAGAACAUAUUAACACUGGACUAAUCACCAGGCCCUCUAGCUGGAACUCUUGAAAUAAAGGAACAGCUAUUAACAAUUAAUUAUGGUUAGAGGAUAUGAAUGGGACUUGCCUCAUAAAAGUGGAAUUUUUUGUGUGUAGAGCCACAUAGGAUACAAAAAUAUCUACAGAUAGAGGAAACAGAAGAAACAAAGGUGCAGGUGCUUGAAGCUGUCUGGCACACUUCAGGAUGAAUCAAGAAAGUGUGGGAAAUGCAUGCAUGGAGGAUGCAAGACUUUGAUUCUGUCAAAAGGAAAGAAUGAGAACAUGGUAAAUAAGGCAGAAGAAUUGCUUUGACUGAAGAUUUCAAAACUAUACCUCCCUCUUCCUUUGUAUUUUGAACAUGGUUCCGUAUACAUCUGACAGCUAGAAGUUGGUGAUGACUUUUUCUGCAGUGCCUAAAGGAGGAACAAAAGAUGGAUCAGGAAGGGUGGUAGUGUCAAGCCAAGGUGGUGGAGGUCUAAAAGUUUCCCAGCGCUCACUCCAGUUACUCUUGCCUGGAAAAUUCCAUGCACGGAGGAGACAGUAGGCUACAGUCCAUGGGAUUGCACAGAGUCAGACACAAUUUCACUUUCAGCCCCUCCAUGAGCCCAUAAGAUUCAAGCCCCCACCACUCCUUGAGAAAAGUGACCUCAUCAAUCUCAUUCAACUUGUAUCAUUAGUACCUGGAUCUACAAACAAACAAAAUCUCAAUCCCUAUUUGUUGAAUGGAUGAAUAGAUGGAUGAAAGGCAUCUUAGAGGUCAGCUAGUCCAACAUCUUCACUUUUAGAGAUUUUUUCACUACUAGAAAUAAACUGCAAAAAAUUAAACCAUUAUGGGCAACCUAGCACUUUUGUGUGAGUGGGUGUCUAUGGCAUAUGAAGCUGAAACAAAGGAGGUAUACACUAACCUUUUUUGAGCAACACCACCACAUUGCCUUGCAUAAUGAACACUUAUUUUCACCUGAAGUCUACCAAUCACCAGAAUCACUGAGAGCACCGGUUAUUUUUAUGUGCUUCUGUUCUCUCCUCUGUGUUUUACAUCUGAUUGCUCUGCUGUUUGACAAGGAAUUUUGCCACACGGUAGGCGCAGCAUCUGAGGAAAGCUCCUGUUCCUGUGGGGUGAUAUCUCUGCUUCUGGGCAUAAGGUGAGGAGGCAUCUGGUGACCUCUCUGCUUGUGCUGCCUGGUACCCUGAGGCUUUGGAGAAAUGACUGUGCGAUCGUUCACCUUGGCUCAGCCUGAGAGCUACUGUGACAGAUUUAUUGGCUCUGAAACAUUUAUCCAAGCAGAACCUCUAAACCAAUAUACAUUUCACUCACACACACUCUAGGGAGAGGGGGAGGAGAAGUCUAAGGGGUGGAACUCUGCAGAGAUGUAAGUCCACCACUCACUUUACUCUUGCAAAUUUGAGAAAUGAAAUGCAUCAUUUCUUUCAACCUCAGGUGUGUCUCUUUUUUUAACCAGUUUUUCUCAGUCAGGUGGUACAGAAAAACAGUACAUUAAUAAAAGGAAAUUAAUGAGGUCACUCAA